UACAGAGGGUGCGAGCGUUAAUCGGAAUUACUGGGCGUAAAGCGUGCGUAGACGGUAGCGUAAGUCGGGUGUGAAAGCCCCGGGCUCAACCUGGGAAUUGCAUUCGAGACUGCUCUGCUAGGGUGCGGAAGAGGGAAGCGGAAUUUCCGGUGUAGCGGUGAAAUGCGUAGAUAUCAGGAGGAACACCGGUGGUGUAGACGGCUCUCUGGACCGUAACUGACGCUGAGACACGAAAGCGUGGGUAGCAAACAGG
rnacentral:rRNA from 1 species